UNGCUCACAGAACACAGGGGUCUUCAAAG
rnacentral:piRNA from 1 species